rnacentral:tRNA from 1 species
AUUCCUGUAGCUAAGUAAAGUGAGUGACUCUUAAUCUCUCGAUGCAGGUUUACUGUCGGGAAUG